rnacentral:rRNA from 1 species
CCUACGGGAGGCAGCAGUGAGGAAUAUUGGUCAAUGGACGAAAGUCUGAACCAGCCAUGCAGCGUGAAGGAUGACUGCCCUAUGGGUUGUAAACUUCUUUUAUAUGGGAAUAAAAUGUUACACGUGUGGGAUUUUGUAUGUACCAUAUGAAUAAGGAUCGGCUAACUCCGUGCCAGCAGCCGCGGUAAUACGGAGGAUCCCAGCGUUAUCCGGAUUUAUUGGGUUUAAAGGGUGCGUAGGUGGAUUGUUAAGUUAGUUGUGAAAGUUUGCGGCUCAACCGUAGAAUUGCAGUUGAAACUGGCAGUCUUGAGUACAGUUGAGGUAGGCGGAAUUCGUGGUGUAGCGGUGAAAUGCUUAGAGAUCACGCAGAACUCCGAUUGCGAAGGCAGCUCACUAGGCUGCUACUGACGCUGAGGCUCGAAAGUGUGGGGAUCAAACAGGAUUAGAUACCCGAGUAGUC